rnacentral:rRNA from 1 species
GCUACGGCAGUGAAGUCAUUGAUGCCAUGCUUCCAGGAAAAGCCUCUAAGCUUCAGAUAGUCAGGAAUCGUACCCCAAACCGACACAGGUGGUCGGGUAGAGAAUACCAAGGCGCUUGAGAGAACUCGGGUGAAGGAACUAGGCAAAAUGGUACCGUAACUUCGGGAGAAGGUACGCUCUUGAUGGUGAAGUCCCUCGCGGAUGGAGCUGACGAGAGUCGCAGAUACCAGGUGGCUGCAACUGUUUAUUAAAAACACAGCACUGUGCAAAAUCGCAAGAUGACGUAUACGGUGUGACGCCUGCCCGGUGCCGGAAGGUUAAUUGAUGGGGUUAGCGCAAGCGAAGCUCUUGAUCGAAGCCCCGGUAAACGGCGGCCGUAACUAUAACGGUCCUAAGGUAGCGAAAUUCCUUGUCGGGUAAGUUCCGACCUGCACGAAUGGCGUAAUGAUGGCCACGCUGUCUCCACCCGAGACUCAGUGAAAUUGAAAUCGCUGUGAAGAUGCAGUGUACCCGCGGCUAGACGGAAAGACCCCGUGAACCUUUACUACAGCUUGGCACUGAACAUUGAACCUACAUGUGUAGGAUAGGUGGGAGGCUAUGAAGACGUGACGCCAGUUGCGUUGGAGCCGUCCUUGAAAUACCACCCUUGUAUGUUUGAUGUUCUAACUUAGACCCAUUAUCUGGGUUGAGGACAGUGCCUGGUGGGUAGUUUGACUGGGGCGGUCUCCUCCCAAAGAGUAACGGAGGAGCACGAAGGUGGGCUAAUCACGGUUGGACAUCGUGAGGUUAGUGCAAUGGCAUAAGCCCGCUUAACUGCGAGAAUGACGGUUCGAGCAGGUGCGAAAGCAGGUCAUAGUGAUCCGGUGGUUCUGUAUGGAAGGGCCAUCGCUCAACGGAUAAAAGGUACUCCGGGGAUAACAGGCUGAUACCGCCCAAGAGUUCAUAUCGACGGCGGUGUUUGGCACCUCGAUGUCGGCUCAUCACAUCCUGGGGCUGAAGUCGGUCCCAAGGGUAUGGCUGUUCGCCAUUUAAAGUGGUACGCGAGCUGGGUUUAGAACGUCGUGAGACAGUUCGGUCCCUAUCUGCCGUGGGCGUUGGAAGAUUGAAGGGGGCUGCUCCUAGUACGAGAGGACCGGAGUGGACGAACCUCUGGUGUUCGGGUUGUGUCGCCAGACGCAUUGCCCGGUAGCUAAGUUCGGAAUUGAUAAGCGCUGAAAGCAUCUAAGCGCGAAGCGAGCCCUGAGAUGAGUCUUCCCUGAUACUUUAAGUAUCCUAAAGGGUUGUUCGAGACUAGAACGUUGAUAGGCAGGGUGUGUAAGCGUUGUGAGGCGUUGAGCUAACCUGUACUAAUUGCCCGUGAGGCUUAACC